GCAAACUUUCCAGCUUAUCAAAAAGCAACAUGAGUAAUCCCAUCCUGUCGAACUUUGUGGUGGUGGUGGUGUAAGUUGUAUGUUCUGAUAAUUCCCUGGUUACAUGUCAUUGCAUCUUGUCUAAUUUCCUUACCUGAGGCUGCAUCUUCUCAUGUUCACCUGACACAACCAGAGGAGAUCAUGCAGCUGAUAUAACAAGGGGCCCAACAUUUGCAGUGCUGAACAACAUCAUUAAUGCUCAUGAAAUGCUUUCUUUUUCAUGAGAAAACCAGAAAAAAAAAAAACACAUUAUUUUUCUCAUUAACUUUUAUCAAAUCGGUGAUUUAUCCACCCUGUUUGUUGCAGAGUUAAAUAUCAGUGGUUUCAAUAGGUGUCAGUGGGUGAACAAUCUCUGCUUUGAUGCUGCAAGGUCAGUAUGUCCAUCCCUCUUAUCUCAGCUGAGCAGCUGGGCCACAAAUCAGGACUGAAGCCAGGUGAGGGGACCUGUGACAGAGCUGUGAGGGAGGACGGAGAGCUGGCAGUGCUCAGGCCCUGGCAACAGAGAGCUAUGGUAGACAUCAGGUCCCUGGUGCGGCGUCACUGGGUAGGAAGGGACAGUGCCAGCACUCAUGAAGAACAUCCCUCCCCACAGUGCAGGCAGCACUCUGGUUUGGCAUGGAGCACCUGGGAGGUAAGUGUGGGGCUUGGGAUGGCAGCAUGCAGUUUGGAUGGGAAGCUGGGGGCUUCUCACUGCCUUUGCUCUCUGAGACAGCUAUGUGCUCAUACCAUGGCUCACUCUGCCUUAAGAACUGUGUUCUUCCUCAGUUUGGGAAAGGUGCGUAAGGGGGGCUGGACUGCUGAGAUCUGUUUGCACUCCAGGGAUAGCGUGAGCAGUGGCUGUUGGUUCACACACUGUCCUCGUGGAUUCCUUUUGGGCACGUUUGCACUGAAACUUUGAAUAAUUCUUCCCUAACGCUGCUAGGCUCGUACCUUGAGCCCAGCUUAUAAUUAUUUUUCUUCAAGAGGACUGCUGGAAAAUGAGGUGAUAUUAACUUGGGACUCAACCAGGGUUUCCUGCCAGAUUAAAUGGAUGCUGGAAGCGGUUCUGAAUCAAAGGUUGCUUUGACUUUCUGUGGUUGUGUGAGGCCUUCUGCAUUUCUUUUUGGGGAACAGGCUCAGGAGGCUCUAUAGCUCAUAUGAGUAUUUGCUGUAGCCAGUCCCUGACUCCUUUCUCUCCUUACAUUUCCUGUUUUGCAGCUGCUGGCUAUGCUGGCAGCCAGCCUGCUGCUGCUCUGUAUCCUGCUGUGCUACCAGGCCUUUCAUUUCCACGUGGCACAGGCCUACGCACGCCUUGGGUACCCCCAUGCCCAGCACAUUGUGGGGCAGAGGUAUCUGCAAGGUAAACUUCACUGUUGGAUGUUGGAGGACAUCCGUGCAUGUGAAUCUCAAAUGUGGCUCUGCAUGCUGGUUUGGCCACUGUGUUUUACGUCAUCACUGCGACUUCACUGCCUUGUCUUUAUCUCAGGUGCUGGAGUGGAAAAAAAUGAGAAGCUGGCCAUGCACUGGUUCAGGCAGGCAGCAGGACAGGGCCACCCACAGUCCUCCUUCAGCCUGGCACUGGGAGCUCUCAGCAACAUGACGGCGGCAAUGGAGGAAAGGUAACACAGCUGCUCCUGCCCCUUCCCGCUCCAGAUUCAGAUUUGGUUCCUCCUGGGGGAAAGUGCUGUACUGUAGGCAUCCCGUGGAUGUGGCUGCAUAGGCGUUUUUGAGGUUCCACUGUUGUGUUGUCAGCUCUGCUUGUGUUGGCCACCAGUGCCUUGUUAGCCUCAGAGAGGCUGGGACACUCUCUCCAGCAUUCCUGUGCCCUGCAGUGUGCCCAAAUGGAGGGACAGCCAGAGCCUGCUGUCUGCACAGUCACUGAGAUGGCUAAUCCAGGGGCCACUCCUAGUUGAAGCAAAAGUGACCAACGAGUUUCCAUCACAGUGCUACUCAGUCUUCUUAAAAUUGUUUUGCUGGAGUUUUUUAACUCCAAGCUCCAAAAUACAAAAGCAAAAGCCUGUGAGCUGAAGCCAUCAUGUUUUGUUUUGAUCCCGUGUUGCAUAUUGAUCAGAUAGACUCACGUAUUUGGUUGUACAAUAACUAUAUAUUUCAAGAGUUUCAGAUCAUACGGCUUCAGUUCAGUCAGGUCAGGAAAAUCACCAAUAAUCAGACAUACAUGCUCAGAUCACAGUGAAAAGCAAAGGAAAACCAGAUAAUUUUCUGAAUAUUAGACAGCUGAACACCACAGAAUCUUUCAGAUCUAGUAGUGGUUGUCCUCUAUUAGAAGCCUGGGUAAGUAAAAGUCAGAUAGGAACAACCAAAACUCCUAGUUUUUCUUGAUGAAGAUUUCAUGUCCUUCAGAGAAGUGGAAAAACUCCUUGGUGUGGCUGCAGCCCAUGGACUCCGAGAAGCUCAGGAACUUUUGGAGAACAUUCUCAAGAGCAGAAAGCUGCCCUGAAUGACUGCACCAGCCUUGUCUUCUUCUGCAACUUUAUUGAAAACUAAUUACAAGCUGGAGAUCACAUCUCAUACCAAUUCAUCCCCUGAUAUUAAGUUAGAUCCAGAUACUGACCUGGGCCUGAUGCUGUGGUUGUGCUGUAUCUAUUUCAUGCUCUGCUUAUUUUUUGCAACAGAUGAUCGUGAUUAAAGCUUUGUUGUCAUUAAUCAGCAUGACGUGUGUGAGUGAUGUCACCUGUAAUAUAAAUAACAGUGGUUUAAUAGAAAGUAUUAUGGUUAAGAUAAAUAAAAUCUUCAUGUAACAGCUGCCAUUCCUUAAAAACUUCACCAUUACCAUACCAGUUUUUGGAAAAUAUAAUUAAUCUUAAUGGAAACUGCCUUCAUCCUCAAGGUGGCCUCAGUUUAAAACUACCGUGGGAAGACCUGCAUCUGACAGAAAAUGAAUUCACUCUGCAGAGCCAUACAACAUUUUGCUGGCAAUAGUGCUGCUGCUGGGGAUGCCCAGGUUGGUCUGCAGUCACUGCCUUACUGGUUCCCAUGGUCUCAUACAACCAGCUGGUGAUUUGUCAUCCAGUGCCUUCCAGUAUUUUGGUAAGAGCUGGGAAAUAAGGGCAAGCUUGAGUAUCAACAGAAGCUGCUGAUUGACUAAAGUGGGAGCAAGCUAUCGCAACUCAGUACUUUACCAGUUCUUCACCACAUCCACAGGCUUCCCAUGAAGCACAGAAACAGCAUUCACACUAUGAACCUUACACCACCUCCCUACAGGCACAGAUUUCUCCCACUCAAAUUGCUUUCCAGUUUGAUUUUCCCCUGAUUUUCUUUCAGUAUAACCACCCAAAGCACAGGUUUGUUUUGCUGCCAAUACCCAACUAACCACAGGGUCCUGAUCUCAUCCUUGUUUGAUGAAACUGGUUCUUUCUCUGUACCAGCAGCUCAUCUGUAGUUUUUGGCUGUAGGAAAUCAGCACUGAACAUCAGCUGCUUCUUUGGGAAUGUUCUGCCAGCCCCAGAACAGCUGAGCUAGUGGGGAAGGGCAAGGGGGAGGAGGUAAUGCUUCCUGGCUUCAGUGCUCUCUGCAUAGCUCGGGUAGAAAAGCCCAGAAAAAAAAAAAAAAAAAA